rnacentral:rRNA from 1 species
GUGAGGAAUUUUCCGCAAUGGGCGAAAGCCUGACGGAGCAAUGCCGCGUGAAGGAUGAAGGCCUAUGGGUUGUAAACUUCUUUUCUCAGAAAAGAAUUAUGACGGUAUCUGAGGAAUAAGCAUCGGCUAACUCUGUGCCAGCAGCCGCGGUAAGACAGAGGAUGCAAGCGUUAUCCGGAAUGAUUGGGCGUAAAGCGUCUGUAGGUUGUUUAAAAAGUAUUCUGUCAAAGAUUAGGGCUUAACCCUAGAUAGGCAGAAUAAACUUUUAAGCUAGAGUUUGGUAGAGGCAGAGGGAAUUCCCGGUGGAGCGGUGAAAUGCGUAGAUAUCGGGAGGAACACCAAAGGCGAAGGCACUCUGCUAGGCCAAUACUAACACUGAGAGACGAAAGCGAGGGGAGCAAAUGGGAUUAGAAACCCGGGUAGUCC